GGAGCAGGGAGGGGGUGAACGUGACUGGCUGCCCUUCUCUCUGCAGGCCUGUGGACCCCGGCAGAAAAGCAUCCAGAGAACGUCUGCCCCGGCCCCAGAGCAUAAGCUCCAAGAAAGCAGGGCCUUGGUCCGUGGUGAUUUCUGUACCGACACAGCAUCUGCACAGAACAGGGUCUAUAAGAGGCCAAGAGAAGGUGUUCUUAUCCACCAGGGAUCUGGGUAGCUCUCCUCUUCCCAGCGUGGCCUGUUGGGGCAGAGCAAGCUGUGUCCCUGAAGAUUGCCCUCCAGCUUCUAGGCUGGAGAUCAUGGCACCAUCGUGGCUCUGAUUUGCGGGAAUGCUGGCAAAGUUAUGGAAGACUUUUUGACAUUCACGGAGGGGAUUUACUUUUUGUGUGAGCAAUGCCAUAGGGUACAGACAGCCACGGAAGGAGCCCUCACUUCUGAGGCAGCUGUAAAAAUGGCCACGAUUCUUCCCAUCCCAGUAUGUACGCACCCAUGCAAUGUGACGUCGGAGGUUCUUCCGUGCAAAGGUGAAGUCUGUUUCUCUACCAUUUGAAUCUGGGAUUGGCCAUGUGUCUGGCUUUGGCCACACAGGCAUUAACAAACUUGUGCACGGUGACUUGCCCUCUUGCUACUUUUGGAAAUAUGCACUUACUCUCAUGUGUGGGAGCCCCAAACAGCCUGUGAGAAGAUGAGACCGGUGGCCCAGUUACAUUCUUUGCCCCUACUGAUAUACAGCCAAUUGCCAGACAUGUGAGUGAGGCCACUCACUGCUCGUGUGGAUGAGCCCCAUGGGUCCCUGGAAGAACCAUCCAGCAGAUCCCAGCCUGAGUGGUGACCCAUGGAAUUUUGAGCUAAAUGAAUGGCUGCUUUUUAAAGACGAUAUGUUUGUGGUGAUACGUUACACAACAAAAAAUGACAGAUAGAAGGCUGAAGUUGACUUAUAGGGGAGUCCUACCCACAGUUGUUGGAGAAAAGGAAGUAUUUCUUGAGUUCCUGCUGUACCUCCAGCCUGGGCCAGGCACUUAUGUAUAUAUUAUCUCCUUUGGUCCUCACACUGGGUAUAUUAUUUCCAUUGUGAAGUUGGCAUUGUUAUCAUCCACAUUUUAUAGUCCAGGAGACUUGAGAUUCAGAAUAUUUAGUUUGCUUUCCCAAGAUCAUAAACCCAAUGAGUAGUAAAGCCUGGAUUCCAACUCA